rnacentral:rRNA from 1 species
AUGAUUAAAAAUUGUGGCCUCUUUGACAUUGGUUUUAGUGGUCCUGCUUACACUUGGCGUAAUAGGCAGCACACGGUUAGGCCUAUUUACAGAUGUUUAGAUUGUUGUCUUGUUAAUGCAGAUUGGUGUGCUCUGUAUCCCAACUCUAAGGUGCUUAACUUGCCUAUCAUCCUUAGUGACCAUGCUCCCAUUCUCAUUUCCAUGGAUGGUAGUUUUGUUAAACCUAGGCAAUCCUUCAAAUUUGAGAAU